rnacentral:rRNA from 1 species
GACGAACGCUGGCGGCGUGCUUAACACAUGCAAGUCGAACGGGCCCGCCCCUGUUUUUGGGGGUGGGUUGAGUGGCGAACGGGUGAGUAUCACGUGAGUAACCUGCCCCCUGCUCCUGGAUAACUGCUUGAAAGGGCGGCUAAUACGGGGUGUGCCGGCUGGUCCGCAUGGGCCUGGUCGGGAUAGUUUCAUCUUCGGGUGUUUCGGUGGGGGAUGGGCUCGCGGCCUAUCAGCUUGUUGGUGGGGUGAUGGCCCACCAAGGCGGUGACGGGUAGCCGGCCUGAGGGGGUGGGCGGCCACACUGGGACUGAGACACGGCCCAGAUGCCUGCGGGAGGCAGCAGUGGGGGGUAUUGCACAAUGGGCGGAAGCCUGAUGCAGCGACGUCGCGUGAGGGAUGGAGGCCUUCGGGUUGUGAACCUCUUUCUCCGGUGGUGAAGGCCCUGUCCGUUGCGGCGGGGUUGACGGUAGCCGGGUAUGAAGCGCCGGCUAACUACGUG